CUUUCGGGAACAUCCGAUAAAAUUGGAACAAUAUAGAGAACACCAUCAUGGCUCCUGGGCAAGGAUAAUAUGCACAAAUGGAGAAAUGGUCCAAAAUUUU
rfam:Gossypium raimondii Chr09_contig_676, whole genome shotgun sequence.